UACGUAGGGGCAAGCGUUGUUCGGAAUUACUGGGCGUAAAGGGCGCGUAGGCGGCACGACAAGUCGGGAGUGAAAGGCCCGGGGCUCAACCCCGGAAUGUCUCUCGAAACUGUCGAGCUAGAGUGCGGAAGAGGCACUGGAAUCCAGUGUAGCGGUGAAAUGCGUAGAUAUUGGGAAGAACACCUGAGGCGAAGGCGGGUUGGCUGGGCCGACACUGACGCUG
rnacentral:rRNA from 1 species